ensembl:lncRNA
AUCCCUUGCUCAUGAAUGGAUUUACUCAUCUCUUCUUGAAUGCAGAGAUUGCAAAUCCCCAGGACUCGCCACUCCUUAGAGUGAAACUCGCCCAGCUCUGGGUCACACUCAGUUCAGCUGAGUCACUUUCUCCUUUCUUUAGUCAAAUUUAAUCUUUGAGGAGUUCAUUUGAGACAUGGCAGCCUGGGAGGGGAGAGGUUUCCAGUCUGAUCAGCUCUUCCAUCCCACCAGGGAACGGUCCAAUUAUUGCUGCAGGGCUGUGUGGGGCUGUGUCCCUGCCCUCACCCUGGGGACAGAUUUCCUUCUGAGACGUCUGCUGGGGUCACUUCAGCCUUCUUUGGCUUCUUAAAUGACUUUAUUGGUGCUUUCCAAUCUUCCCAAACUGAUUCUGUUCAGCCGCAUCUGGGAGGAGAUGGGUGAGAGCCAGACCUGCCCCACCUGCACCUUCACCCAUCUCUGUGGGUGCCUCAGCUCAGGUGAAUUCACUGCCCGUGCUCGCUGCUUCCAUCUCAGCCCAGGAGCUGCAUCCUCCUGCUCUGUGGGGCUGCCCCAUCCGAGUCCAGGGCAGGCAGCCCUGCUUUGGUUCUGCUGGGCUUUGGUUCUGCUGGGCUUUGGUUCUUGCUGGGCUUUGGUUCUGCUGGGGUUGUGUGUUCAGCAUCUGCCACCAUGGAUGUUUUUCCACUUGGUAGAGAGUCCAGGUGCCAGGAUGGUGACAGGAGGUGGUGACAGGGACAAUCCCAGUCCCAGCAGUGCAGAGCUGCUGGGGACACGCAGCCCUGGCUCAGGGAGGGGACAGGAGGGGACAGUCAGUGCUUCCAGCUCCUCUGGGUCCCUUUAGAGCCCACCUUGGCACUGGGGAUCUGUGCCCCCUGUGUCCCCUGUGCCCCCUGUGCCCCGAGGAUGCUCUGGCUCCCCUGCCCUGCUCCGGCUCCUCCUGGUGGGACUCCAGUGCUGGGAGCUGCUCUCAGGCUGUUGUUGAUGGGGAUCCCCUCCCUGCUCAGCCCUCCCUGGGCCCUUCCUGCCCCCCUGAGCCCCGGGGUCCCUGCAGGCCCUGCCCAGGGUCCCUGGAGCUGCCAUUCCCCAGGGCUGGGGCUCUGUCACUGCUGCUGGGGUGGCUUUGCUCGGUCACAUCCUGUGUGACCCCUUUGAUUUUGGUGCUGGAAUUCUCCCUCUGCCCCAGGCCCUGGAAACCUGAGGGGUCUCUGUGGGUUUUUGUCCUGGAUAACUCCACCCUGGAAUGAUCCCAACUCCCGGGGAAAAUUCUGAUUAAUUCUGAUUUUCUUGUUCUGCCUGAGCCUGAAGCACAGAGGGGAUUCAGGGCUGGGAGCAGGGGAGGGCCUUGGACAGGGCUGUGAACCCAAAAAGCUUUUGGGGAGCAGAAACUUCACAGUGUUUUUGUGAACUAUCUUUGCAGCACUGAGGAAAAAUCACAGGAAUUGGAGUUUUGGGAGUACAGAUGUGCAGUCAGUGUAUGAAUAUUUGAAGUCUUACUGGUUUUAAAGGUUUAUUUUCUUUGGUUUUUUGGGUUUUUUUUGCUCCAUUUCCAUUUUCCACUCCAUUUGCGGGUCAGGUUUUCACUAAAAGCUGUUUCAAAAUGUUGUUGUGCCAUAUUUUAUUUACCCUUCUACAUUAUAAAUAUAUAAAUAUAUAUUUAGACUGAAUAUUGCAUUGAAAGAUGCUGUUAUUGGGAACUUCAGGGUUUAAACCCAAGACAAAAUGAAAUUGGGAAAUAAUUCUCCAGUGUUUUUACUGUUUAGGAUCCUCUUCCUGAAGAGGUUCCUUGAGUUCUUUGUGGUGUAAAAACAAAAUCUCAUCUGAAAAUUCCAAGUUUGACGAUGCUAACCCUGAAGUUCUCAGGUUUGUGAUCCUUUGGUUUUCUUGAGGUACAUCUGGUUGCUUUUCUGGUGCAGUCAAUAAUUUUUUUUAAAAGGUUUUGUCUCUGGAGUUAUUGAGGAAAAGGUGGAAUGGGUUGAUCCAUCCUGCUUGGCUUUUUAACCUAUUAAUCUUUGAAGUGAUCGAUUUCCAAUUAAAACCCAACUUUUUAGGUCUCUGUUCUACUUAAACUUCUUAGGAGUGAGAGCCUGCCCUCGCUGAGUGGGACUUGGAUGGGGAAAGCAGUAGAUGAUGAGGUUGCUGUUGCUCAGGAAUUGAUUAGUAAACUUUUAACUACUAAUAAAAAUCCAUUUUUCAAUGGAUUUUUAGAAAAA